GGUUACUCUAAUCUUCUCAACAUCACUGCCUUCCCCUGCUACAGUGACUGUGCCCUUGGUUCUGACUGUGAAAAGCUUGGAAUUAAGGUUUCAAACUCAACGUCUUCAAGCAAUAGCAAUCAAGGUUCCUCAUUUCUGCCAGGAACAUUCCAUUGGAUAGCUAUCUCUCUCAUGUCCAUCGCG